GUUAAUGUUAUGUAUGCGGUGUUGUUGUUAAUGUUAUUAAAUCGGUUGUAAUUUUGAUAAUUUUCAUUCUUUAACCAACAUGUUAUGUAUUUUUCAUUCGGUUGGAAUUUUGUGCACUUUGCACAUUAAGAUUUUCAUAAACUGGAAAUGUAACUAGAGGAAAUAUUCUUAAACUUGCAGUGUCUAGCCAAGUAUUAGCAUUUAUUUUACUCUUUCAUUCAGUUAAACUGAGAGGUGUUGCUGAGAUUGGUGGAAAUUUUAGCCAAUUCUAAGUAGUAUUACUUGUUUUAAAAAAAGAAGAAGAGUAGAUGCAAUUGUUGAAUUAAUG
rnacentral:lncRNA from 1 species